rnacentral:misc_RNA from 1 species
AAUUUUUUUUUUUUUGGAGCGUUAUUAGAUUAAAAAAAAAAAAAAGUUGAAACUGAGGCAAAUGCCAUAAAAUAUUGUAUUCUUUGGUAACUAUAUGCAAACCUCAAGGACUAAUGUAAUUUAUCUUUAAAGGAUAAAAUAAAACCAGUGUCGCAUCUGGGCUUGCAGUUUGCAGCGCAACUUUUCUGCUAAUUCUUCCUUCCUCAAACUUAAAUUGGCAUGUGUUUAUCGAUGGGUCCUUAUUUAAGCAUUCUUUGGUCUUCAACUAUUGUUUGAUAUUUUGCUUCAUGGUGCUUAAAUUAGUUAACUUUGGCUAAAUAUGAAAGGAGUGCUUCUUGUAAAUUUUAAUCUUUGUCUUAUUAUUUCCUUAGUUUUGGGGUUUUCUGUGAUGAUUUAUUUGCUUAGGACUAGAAUUCAUGGUGACCCUUUUAGUAUUUCAGUGAUAGAAACUAGCUUUCAUUGUGAAUUACUGCAUAUUUGAUUUGCUUGGUUUUUGGUUUGUUGUAGUUGAUGGUGAAUAUUCCCAA